AUGAAAAGGAAAGGGGACGCAAUUCCUUUAGCCAGGGCUGAGAAAAAAGGGAAAGAUGAGCUAGAAAAUCAAGAACUUAGUCCUUCUUUUGCAAAUCUUCCAUUACCAAUCAUCACCGACAUUUUGCUUCGACUUCCAAUCAAUUCUGUUAUGGUUUGUAAACGUGUUUGUAGAACUUGGAACACAGUGAUUUUAGAUCCACAUUUUGCUAAAUUGCUCUCUCAGGAAUCACCAUAUGGUUUUAUGAUUCUGACACUUUUCCAAAAGGCUCCUUAA